UAGGGAAUUUUCGUCAAUGGGCGCAAGCCUGAACGAGCGAUGCCGCGUGAGUGAAGAAGGCCUUCGCGUCGUAAAGCUCUGUUGCGGGGGAAAAAAGGCAGCAUCAGGAAAUGGGUGCUGACUGAUGGUGCCCCGCCAGAAAGUCACGGCUAACUACGUGCC
rnacentral:rRNA from 1 species